AUUGAGCGCUGGCGGCAUGCUUUACACAUGCAAGUCGAACGGCAGCACGGGGGCAACCCUGGUGGCGAGUGGCGAACGGGUGAGUAAUGCAUCGGAACGUACCCAGUCGUGGGGGACAACGUAGCGAAAGUUACGCUAAUACCGCAUACGACCUGAGGGUGAAAGCAGGGGAUCGCAAAACCUUGCGCGAUUGGAGCGGCCGAUGUCAGAUUAGCUAGUUGGUGGGGUAAAGGCUCACCAAGGCGACGAUCUGUAGCGGGUCUGAGAGGAUGAUCCGCCACACUGGGACUGAGACACGGCCCAGACUCCUACGGGAGGCAGCAGUGGGGAAUUUUGGACAAUGGGGGCAACCCUGAUCCAGCCAUGCCGCGUGCGGGAAGAAGGCCUUCGGGUUGUAAACCGCUUUCGGACAGAAAGAAAUCGCAUGGGCUAAUACCCUGUGUGGAUGACGGUACUGUAAGAAGAAGCACCGGCUAACUACGUGCCAGCAGCCGCCGUAACAC
rnacentral:rRNA from 1 species